CCAAAACCAAUCGAUGAUUCUGGUCUCCUGUCGUGCAGUGCUAUAUAAGAAAAGAAAUCGGCAACAGACGUUGACGUGACUCUCCUUCUUAUUUUGCCCACGAAACCCCGAAAUCCUAAAUCCAAAUCGAUCUCAGAAGCACUGUCUACGACGGGAAGACUCGAGCUUUCUGCUUGCAGGUGGCGGCCGGAAGGAAGGAGGAGCUUCACCAGGACCCGUCCGUCGACUACUUCCCCUACUUCCUCUACGGCGUCAUCACAGCUUCACCUCUCCACCGACCCACGACAAUGGCAUCGUCCUCCAUCGCACCGUGGAAUUCAGCAGGAAAAGACUGCGUCCCCCCCGCUCGGAUGCGGCUUGCCUGCUCCCGGCAAAGCUGAAGUGUUCAUGUUUUUUCUAUGCUGGACCCACUUUCCCUGUUCCUGCUCGCAAUUAUGAAGGCCUUUCUACUCACAGCCCCUCUGUUCCAUAGCUGCGCAAGCGCAGCCAGAUCUGGUUCACCUGAUUUCUAGCUGACCACCGUUCGGCCGUUCGGCUGCACGAGUUACGCCGGUUGGGUUUCGUUGGACGGGCCAUUCAAGAUGAGAACACACCUGAGAGAUCAAGCAGAACAUGAGAGGGCGCUCCGGCGCUGGCGUUCCAUCAUUGCAACCCGCAAGCCCCUGAUGCAUGUAGCAGUAACAUGAUGCACAGUGGGAGGAAGAAGAGCCCUGGGCCCAGCCAGGAAAACCAGAACCGUCAGAUGGACGGGAGAACAGAUGUGAGUAUACUGAUUUACUGAAUGACAAGAGGUGCGAUCAAUCCAUUGCCAUGGCCACUGCAAUCUGAGUGCAUGCCUUUUCAACGCUUUUCGUCGAUAGUUGGAUUAUGAUUCCUAUGCUGAAAGCUACUCCUACACGCAGAGCGUAUAUAUCAUGGCAUGGAUAUGUUAUCGGCUUUCAGUAAAGCCGGGCGAAAAAGCCCUCGCUCUGAAGAAAACAUAUGAUGUUGCAUGCAUGGUAUCAUAUCCACCGUGAUUUAUUCGAAGGGACCGAUCGGCCUGCACAUUCGUUGCAUGGUACGCUAGUUCCGGCCAGAUUCCGCUUGAUAGGCGCUUUGCAGGACCUCAUACCUGACUGCAACGAAAAAAGAGCUUUGCACAAGCUUAAAGCGCAACCUGGAGACGUGGUUUCUCUUCAGACACAACAUGCUCUCUGCCUUCCUGAUCCCGAUGUGGCGACGAUGUCAAGAAAAGCUCCUUGGUUCUCAGUUUUUCGGUUCGCCGGCUAUGCUCCAUUGCCAUGGUAGGACUCGGCACAUAAUGGCUGAUCGGUUUGAUCACUGACGAAGGAUGAUCAAGUGAACUAACAUUCAACAGUUGAAGCAACAUUUGCUAUGGUGCAAGUCCCAAGUAUGGGACCAUUUCCUCCAGGGCACAGAAGGAAUCAAAAACAUGCGCAAAAGGAACUUUCAGGAAAAGUGCAAAUGAGUGCAACUUUAGAUAGAACGUGAUUUCGACUGGAAAAGCGUGAGCUUCAAACAUGCAAGAGUAACGUGGAUAAGACCCUGGUGUCAUGAUAAGAUAAGAUCUAUCGAUCCAGAUGAUAUGAUAUGGCGAUUUUACUCACUGUUUCGAAGUAGAAGCCAUUAUCUGAACAACUGAAUGCCUCUUGUGAAGAAAGGUGUAUGUGUGCUUCGGUAGGUUGCAUCAACAAGAAAAUGUCGCAAAAGAUCCCACCAAAAGAAAUUUAGCUGAUCAGUUUGGUACUCCCUCUAAUUCAUAAUAAGCGUCGGAGAUGUAGUACAAAGUUGUACUAAUGUUAGUACAAAUCCCCGACACUUAUGGAUCGGAGAGAGUAGUAAAUUCUCGACCAUAUUUUAGCAUGAAUUUUGGCAGGUGCACAAGUUUUAGCGUGAUGCGUUCUUAGUCUUUUUCAAAAUGUACAAGCAGGUAAACCCAAAACCCGAGCACCCACCCAGCAUGUAGAUUUGCUUUUCCCUUAUGAGUAUGCAUACUGUGUCCUCUAAGAAAAUACUCCAUUGUGUUUUGAUCGGAAAAAAAAGUGUCAUCGUUUGUUUGACCUUAUUAAAUUUCUCCAUUGCUCAAACGGAAUACAUGGAAUGGAUAACAUAUUCUUCGGCAAUCUGGAAACAUGGUAAGAUAUUGCUAAAACUUAUCGUCAAAUCAUAGUACGAGGACAGUCCUGAAUGAAUAUAAUGCUAUCAUGGACUUUAGAUAAAAAUGCACAGAAAGAUUUAUUCAAAUGUUACACACUCAUAUAUAUACAACAAAUAAAUCCAUGCUUGGUAUUUAAAACAUUAAUUUACUUUCUUACUUGUACAUUGUACAUUUAAGUUCGAUGCCUUUAAUCUUACAAUGUCAUCAACAAUAUCUUCUCCAAUUGGCAGGGCAUUCCAAUCUCCUCUGGAAUGCAUUUCAAGUUUGUCUCGGAGGUCUUCACUGAGAUCGGGUUUAAGAAUUAGCCUGGCAAAAACACUUAAGAAAUAAGCAUUCUGUUCUAAUUCGUGAUUUCGUUACCUAUUUUCUGAGGUCAAUGACCCCAUAUCAUAGCAUUUCCUACAGUCCCUGACACGGCUGGUUACGGUGAGAGUUGCCGGCCUGGCUGAGUAGCUGUGGAUGAUACGCUGGUAAGUGGUAACCUCACCUCUUCUUUUCCUUUGUGCUGUUGCUGUCAAGCUUAAAAUUGGAAUAUUCCUGUAUUGACAGCAGCUGCAACCUUGAAUCUGUUACAACUUACAACAACUUAAGAUUUGCUAUCUCAUAAAAAAUGAAGUUUAUUCUUGGACAUCAGGACAAAUACAGUAUCUGUGCAUCACACUGCUUUUCAGACUAUCAAUAUGUAGUAGUACACAGGGAUGUGGAAUCUACAUAACAACAAUUAGCUUUGAAGCAUGCUAAACAGAGCACGACAGUAGGGAUUAUCUUAUUUACCUUCAUAUCAACUGUUCUUUUAAAACAAAAUUGUGAGACUAUAAUUUAUUUAAGUACUCCCUCUGAUCCAUAAUAAGUGUCCCAGACUUAGUGCAACUUUGUACUAAGUUAGUACAAAAUCUGAGACACUUAUUAUGGAUCGGAGGGAGUAUAUAUUUCUGUACAACGUUAUAGGCAAUAAUAUAAAUAGACAUAAAUUAUAAAUAUUGGAAAAACAAAUGUAAUCCCAACUAUCUCAGCUGUGUUUCGCAACGACAAUACCGUUUCCUUAAGAAGGUGACAACAUAAUGUAUUUUUGUGUUUAGCCUAUUUAUGGUAUACUCGACAUAUUACAAAACCAUCUCUUGGCUAACAUAGAAACAAUUUAAAAACAUCCUAUGUUGUUUGUUAAAAAGUGCUCACCUUUUCUGCACCUACUUUUCUACUGCAGAGAUAAAGUUCAGCAAGCCUACACGAUGUGGCAAUGCCCGAAUGAGAGAAAAAUACUCUAAUCGUAUAAAAAAAUGUCAAAGAAGGUUUUGCAUGCAACCAGACCAAAUGGUGGAAUAAUCUAUAUAAUUAAUGUAAUAUUGCAUGCUACAUGUAGGGAGAAAAGAGAGAUGCAGUGUAGAACAGACAUGACAGUGAAGGGAAUGCACACAGAAUAAAAGGAGAUUUAAACAUUGGAAAAAGGGUCAUCUGUA